GACGUAGGGCGCGAGCGUUGUCCGGAUUUAUUGGGCGUAAAGAGCGUGUAGGCGGCCAGGUAGGUCCGUUGUGAAAACUCGAGGCUCAACCUCGAGCUGUCGAUGGAAACCAUCUGGCUAGAGUCCGGAAGAGGAGAGUGGAAUUCCCGGUGUAGCGGUGAAAUGCGCAGAUAUCGGGAAGAACACCCGUGGCGAAGGCGGCUCUCUGGGACGGUACUGACGCUGAGACGCGAAAGCGUGGGGAGCGAACAGG
rnacentral:rRNA from 1 species